rnacentral:tRNA from 1 species
CGGGGUGUGGCGCAGCUUGGUAGCGCGCUUCGUUCGGGACUAAGAGGUCGCAGGUUCAAAUCCUGUCACCCCGACCA